rnacentral:rRNA from 1 species
ACGAUGAAGCCUUUCGGGGUGGAUUAGUGGCGAACGGGUGAGUAACACGUGGGCAAUCUGCCCUUCACUCUGGGACAAGCCCUGGAAACGGGGUCUAAUACCGGAUAACACUCUGUCCCGCAUGGGACGGGGUUAAAAGCUCCGGCGGUGAAGGAUGAGCCCGCGGCCUAUCAGCUUGUUGGUGGGGUAAUGGCCUACCAAGGCGACGACGGGUAGCCGGCCUGAGAGGGCGACCGGCCACACUGGGACUGAGACACGGCCCAGACUCCUACGGGAGGCAGCAGUGGGGAAUAUUGCACAAUGGGCGAAAGCCUGAUGCAGCGACGCCGCGUGAGGGAUGACGGCCUUCGGGUUGUAAACCUCUUUCAGCAGGGAAGAAGCGAAAGUGACGGUACCUGCAGAAGAAGCGCCGGCUAACUACGUGCCAGCAGCCGCGGUAAUACGUAGGGCGCAAGCGUUGUCCGGAAUUAUUGGGCGUAAAGAGCUCGUAGGCGGCUUGUCACGUCGGAUGUGAAAGCCCGGGGCUUAACCCCGGGUCUGCAUUCGAUACGGGCUAGCUAGAGUGUGGUAGGGGAGAUCGGAAUUCCUGGUGUAGCGGUGAAAUGCGCAGAUAUCAGGAGGAACACCGGUGGCGAAGGCGGAUCUCUGGGCCAUUACUGACGCUGAGGAGCGAAAGCGUGGGGAGCGAACAGGAUUAGAUACCCUGGUAGUCCACGCCGUAAACGUUGGGAACUAGGUGUUGGCGACAUUC